CCUACGGGUCGCAGCAGUGAGGAAUAUUGGUCAAUGGGCGAGAGCCUGAACCAGCCAAGUCGCGUGAGGGAGUACUGCCCUAUGGGUUGUAAACCUCUUUUGUCGGGGAGCAAAAGCCGGACGUGUCCGGCUUUGAGAGUACCCGGAGAAAAAGCAUCGGCUAACUCCGUUCCAGCAGCCGAGGUAAUACGGAGGAUGCGAGCGUUCUCCGGAUGUAUUGGGUUUAAAGGGUGCGCAGGCGGAUUUUUAAGUCAGCGGUAAAAUCGUGGGGCUCAACACCAUCCAGCCGUUGAAACUGGGGAUCUAGAGUGUGCGAGAGGUAUGCGGAAUGCGUGGUGUAGCGGUGAACUGCAUAGAUAUCACGCAGAACCCCGAUUGCGAAGGCAGCAUACCGGUGCACAACUGACGCUCAGGCACGAAAGCGUGGGUAUCGAACAGGAUUAGAUACCCGAGUAGUC
rnacentral:rRNA from 1 species